GCUCGUCUAGCUCAGUUGGUAGAGUGCAAGGCUUUUAACCUUGAGGUUGUGGGUUCGAGCCCCAUGGUGGGUG
rnacentral:tRNA from 1 species